rnacentral:rRNA from 1 species
AACGAACGCUGGCGGCAUGCCUAACACAUGCAAGUCGAACGAGACCUUCGGGUCUAGUGGCGCACGGGUGCGUAACGCGUGGGAACCUGCCCUUAGGUUCGGAAUAACUCCCCGAAAGGGGUGCUAAUACCGGAUAAUGUCUUCGGACCAAAGAUUUAUCGCCUUUGGAUGGGCCCGCGUUGGAUUAGCUAGUUGGUAGGGUAAAAGCCUACCAAGGCGACGAUCCAUAGCUGGUCUGAGAGGAUGAUCAGCCACACUGGGACUGAGACACGGCCCAGACUCCUACGGGAGCCGGCAGUGGGGAAUAUUGGACAAUGGGCGAAAGCCUGAUCCAGCAAUGCCCCGGGGGUGAUGAAGGCCUUAGGGUUGUAAGCUCUUUUACCCGGGAUGAUAAUGACAGUACCGGGAGAAUAAGCUCCGGCUAACUCCGUG